rnacentral:rRNA from 1 species
AUUACCUGGCGGAUUGCUUACACAUGCAGUCGAACGGCAGCACGGGAGCAUCCUGGUGGCGAGUGGCGAACGGGUGAGUAAUAUAUCGGAACGUGCCCAGUCGUGGGGGAUAACGCAGCGAAAGCUGUGCUAAUACCGCAUACGAUCUACGGAUGAAAGCGGGGGAUCGCAAAGACCUCGCGCGAUUGGAGCGGCCGAUAUCAGAUUAGCUAGUUGGUGGGGUAAGGCCCACCAAAAGGCGACGAUCUGUAGCUGGUCUGAGAGGACGACCAGCCACACUGGAACUGAGACACGGUCCAGACUCCUACGGGAGGCAGCAGUGGGGAAUUUUUGGACAAUGGGCGCAAGCCUGAUCCAGCAAUGCCGCGUGCAGGAUGAAGGCCUUCGGGUUGUAAACUGCUUUUUGUACGGAACGAAACGGUGAGCUCUAAUAAAGUUUGCUAAUGACGGUACCGUAAGAAUAAGCACCGGCUAACUACGUGCCAGCAGCCGCGGUAAUACGUAGGGUGCGAGCGUUAAUCGGAAUUACUGGGCGUAAAGCGUGCGCAGGCGGUUAUGUA